rnacentral:rRNA from 1 species
CCCUACGGGGGGCAGCAGUAGGGAAUCUUCCCCAAUGGACGAAAGUCUGAUGGAGCAACGCUGCGUGAGUGAAGAAGGGUUUCGGCUCGUAAAGCUCUGUUGGUAGUGAAGAAGGAUAGAGGUAGUAACUGGCCUUUAUUUGACGGUAAUUACUUAGAAAGUCACGGCUAACUACGUGCCAGCAGCCGCGGUAAUACGUAGGUGGCAAGCGUUGUCCGGAUUUAUUUGGCGUAAAGCGAGUGCAGGCGGUUCAAUAAGUCUGAUGUUAAAGCC